GAUGACCAUAUUAUGUUGAAACAUCAGUUCUCAUAUGAUCACCAAAGUUAAGCAACAUCAAGCUUAGUCAGUACCUAGAUGGGUAACUGCUUGUGAAUACCAGGUGCU